rnacentral:misc_RNA from 1 species
GGCGACAUAAGAACAGGGAGGCUCCAGAGCAAACUGGAUUGGUGAUUUGUCUGUGGAAUAGAAGACCUAUAUCCUAAGCAGUCCAAUACUGGCAUGUUUGUCAUGGGGUAAAACAUGUGGAUUUGUGAACACUCACCAUCAAUCUGAUAUGGAAAACCGUUGCUGUUGUGUUCAGAACUCUCAAAAUCUCCCGCCAGCUACCUUUGCCCAUCAUUUCUCACCAAAAUUUUGCUUCAUGAUGCAGGAACCAUGGUAACCAAAAAUAUAUAAAAUAGAAAUAAGGUGUUGUGUUGUAUUGUGUAUAUCAGAAUACAAUGAAGAAAUUUAAAAUAUCUCAUAAUUUAUCUAACAACCAGUAGGUGAGACAUCUUCAGCCUUUUCAUUUUCACUCUAGUCUCUUCUCUUUUCCUUUUUAAAAUAAUACUACUGCAAUGUGCAACCUGUGCCCUCUCAAGUCCUUGCCUGCAAGUUUGCGAUCCAGUGGAAUUCAGGCGAUGGGAGACGAUAAAUCUUCCAGUCCCCGUCACAAAAUUGCCUUCCAAGCAACAAGGUACCAGCAAUGGUGCUUGUUUGCUCAAAUGAAGUUCGUUUGCAUGGUUGCUUCAGUUUUCAUGAUGUUGCCCAAUGCGGCUGCAUAUGACCCAUUAGAUCCAAAUGGGAACAUAACCAUCAAAUGGGAUGUAAUGUCUUGGACACCAGAUGGUUAUGUGGCUACAGUAACCAUGAGCAACUUCCAAAUGUACCGGCACAUCAUGAGCCCUGGCUGGACUCUGUCAUGGUCAUGGGCUAAAAAGGAAGUGAUAUGGUCAAUGGUGGGAGCUCAAGCCACAGAACAAGGAGACUGUUCCAAGUUCAAGGGAAAUAUACCUCAUUGCUGCAAGAAGACCCCAACAAUUGUUGACUUUCUCCCUGGAGUCCCUUACAAUCAGCAAUUCACCAAUUGUUGCAAGGGUGGUGUGGUGGCAGCAUGGGGGCAGGAUCCUACAGCUUCAGUCUCAGCCUUUCAGGUCAGUGUUGGACUUGCUGGCACAUCCAAUAAAACAGUGAAACUGCCCAAGAAUUUCACUUUGCUUGGUCCAGGACCAGGGUACACUUGUGGGCCUGCAAAGGUCGUGCCAUCCACCAUCUUCUUCACACCCGAUCAUAGGCGAAAAACUCAAGCACUGAUGACAUGGAAUGUAACAUGCACUUACUCACAGUUUCUAGCUUCCAAAAAUCCAAGCUGUUGUGUUUCCUUCUCCUCUUUCUACAAUGAGACAAUCACUCCUUGUCCUUCUUGUGCGUGUGGAUGCCAGAACAAGAAGAAUUGUAUCAAGAGUAACUCAAAGGAAGCACAUAGAAAGGGAGUAAACACACCAAAGAAGGACAAUACACCACUGCUUCAAUGUACACAUCAUAUGUGCCCGAUUCGAGUGCACUGGCAUGUGAAGGUCAACUACAGAGAAUACUGGCGUGCAAAGAUUGCUGUUACUAAUUUCAACUACAGGUUGAACUACACACAGUGGACACUCGUUAUUCAGCAUCCCAAUCUCAACAAUGUCACACAAGUCUUCAGCUUUGAUUACAAGCCUCUUGUACCCUACGAAUCCAUAAAUGAUACUGGUAUGUUCUAUGGUAUGAAGUUUUACAAUGACCUUCUAAUGGAAGCUGGACCUUUUGGAAAUGUCCAGUCUGAGGUGCUUCUACGGAAAGACAAGAACACUUUUACCCUGAAGCAGGGGUGGGGAUUUCCCAGGAAAGUUUAUUUCAAUGGUGAUGAAUGCAAGAUGCCACCACCAGAUGCAUACCCAUAUCUGCCAAAUUCUGCCUAUGCAAAUCCAGUUGCAUUUUCAACAAUGGCAGCUUCUUUGCUUUUGAUGUUACUUUCAAUAUGGUGAUCUAUCUUCUAUGGGGGAAAUUUUAUUCUUCAGAUCUCUUUGUAACAGAUAAUGCAGAUGCAGUUUAGGAAGCCAGAAAAUUUUUUUUACCACAGGUAUAUAUAUCAAUGUUAACUCUCAUAUACAAGCUAGAAAGGAGGAUGUGCUUUUGAGUGUGGGAUAAUUCACUUGCCAAUAUCUUUUACACGAGUGAAUAAACAUGUUGAAACUAUAAUACCUCCCAAACAUAUCCGGAAUUUCCAAGGCAUCUG